UAUGAAAUUGAUCGUGGUUGAUUGGUAUAGACUCGUUAGAGGACGAUUUACACUUUCAAGAAGGAUUCGUGAACCAAGAGGGACUAUAGAAGGAGAUUGAGCUUGGAAAUGUAAGGUUUGAUGAAGAAACCAAAAUCAAAAGUCUGCAAUGUGAGAAUUGAUGAUGG